GCUCAAAGUUCUCUAGGGACCUCUAAGGGCUGAAAAAUCCUCCCUACCACAGUUUCUGUGGGAUAGAGCACGUACAGCGUGAAAGAAACAGAGUGAAAGGUCCUGGCAAGACGCCCAUCCUACUUCUCGGAUAAAGGCCUUGGCCCUAGUAAGAGGUAACAAAGAAGAACAGGUUUCAGAAGGUAUGAAAGGAAGCUACAAAGAAGUGUAGACUUAGUGAUAAUGGAUUUCCUACAUUCAGUAGUGUCAACAUCUUUGUUCAGAAUGUACUAUGAAAUAUAGGACAGAAUAAGACCUUCACAGAGGCAGACUUGACGUAUUAUCUGCAAGCUGAGAGUCAGAGGUUGAUGUCUGUUGGAAUCAAGCACUGGUUCUAUAGAUCAGAUAUCAAUAGCUUCCAGGCAAGGGGCAGCUCUUGAGCACUGACAUGUGCCAGUGGAUUUUCUCUGAUGAAUGGCUUCUAAGCAUCCAACGCUUCACUAAAUGGCACUGUAGACUGAAUAAUUCUGGAGUUGUAAACAAUCUGAGGUACUGCUGCAGUGUUUCAGAUUCACCUCCAUUUGCAGUCUUUUUGCACUGAAUGGAUUUCAGUUGAUGCUAGUGGUCCAAAGAACGAAGGUAAUCUUACUGGUAGAUUUUCUAAUAUAUAGUUCUCAUAUACAUUCUCACUUGGGAACAAAGCAUGAUGACAUAUGGAAAGGCUCACAUCUAUUUCUUGGCUUUUGGUUAAUUGUUUAAACUGAAACAAGAGUCCGAAGAAAAAAAAAAGACAUAGAAUAAAUUAUGUCAUGCUAAGAUGAGGUUAAUUAUUUAACAUCUGGCAAAAGCAGAUAGAUUCUCUGUUAACACUGUAGAAUCCAUUCAGUCAGCACCUUGAUAAGGACCAUGUCUCUUUCACUGGCUCGGAUUCCUUCCUGGAGUUCCUGUGUAUGUGCUUUCCAGUUCCUCUGAAGACUGGCUAGGAUGCCCAUAAAGUCUGUUUAAAAUGAUUGUCUUCCAUCGCCUGCAAGGCUUUGGUAAUUUGCAAGUGUGAAUGAUGUACAUGUGCAGACAGUUUCUUACCGUGUGGUCCACUUGUCCUGCAAUUUAACUUCUUAAUGAGAAGCUUGAGUAGGUUCAGUGUUGUCCAUCUGCAUUCUGGGAUGGCAGUUAUCAAAGGUAUUUUUGCUGAGUUGUGGCCACUGGA